rnacentral:rRNA from 1 species
CCCGGCCUCGAGCCAGACAGUAUCUCCUGAAAGCCUGACAGUUAAGCUGCCAGAUUUCUCAAGAGACUUAUCCGGCCGGCUACAGACCCUUUAGACCCAAUAAUAACGGUUACCACUCGAGCCGCCGGUGUUACCGCGGCGGCUGGCACCGGUCUUGCCCGGCCCUUGCUAUGAAAUGCUUUUUAGGCAUCUCGACAGCCAGAUUUGUAACCUGGCACUCGAGGUUCCCUUAUCGCUGUUGCCAGCAUUGUAAAGUUUUCGCGCCUGCUGCACCCCGUAGGGCCUGGAUUCGUGUCUCAGAAUCCAUCUCCGGGCUCUUGCUCUCACAACCCGUACCCGUCGUAGGCUAGUAGGUACGCUACACCCACUACUACCUGAUAGGCCGCAGACCCAUCCUUAGGCGCCGGAGCUUUAAAUCUCGAUGCAUUCCAGCAAUCGAGACCUAUCGGGUAUUAUACCCAGUUUCCCGGGUUUAUACCCAACCUAAGGGCAGGUUGUCCACGUGUUACUGAGCAGUUCGCCAUGUAUUGCUACAUUCGACUCGCAUGGCUUAGUCGAACCUCGAUAGCAGUA